AGAGUUUGAUCAUGGCUCAGAUUGAACGCUGGCGGCAGGCCUAACACAUGCAAGUCGAGCGGAAACGACACUAACAAUCCUUCGGGUGCGUUAAUGGGCGUCGAGCGGCGGACGGGUGAGUAAUGCCUAGGAAAUUGCCUUGAUGUGGGGGAUAACCAUUGGAAACGAUGGCUAAUACCGCAUGAUGCCUACGGGCCAAAGAGGGGGACCUUCGGGCCUCUCGCGUCAAGAUAUGCCUAGGUGGGAUUAGCUAGUUGGUGAGGUAAUGGCUCACCAAGGCGACGAUCCCUAGCUGGUCUGAGAGGAUGAUCAGCCACACUGGAACUGAGACACGGUCCAGACUCCUACGGGAGGCAGCAGUGGGGAAUAUUGCACAAUGGGCGAAAGCCUGAUGCAGCCAUGCCGCGUGUAUGAAGAAGGCCUUCGGGUUGUAAAGUACUUUCAGUUGUGAGGAAGGGUGUGUAGUUAAUAACUGCGCAUCUUGACGUUAGCAACAGAAGAAGCACCGGCUAACUCCGUGCCAGCAGCCGCGGUAAUACGGAGGGUGCGAGCGUUAAUCGGAAUUACUGGGCGUAAAGCGCAUGCAGGUGGUUCAUUAAGUCAGAUGUGAAAGCCCGGGGCUCAACCUCGGAACUGCAUUUGAAACUGGUGAACUAGAGUACUGUAGAGGGGGGUAGAAUUUCAGGUGUAGCGGUGAAAUGCGUAGAGAUCUGAAGGAAU
rnacentral:rRNA from 1 species